AGGGUGGUGUUUUCCCCAUGGCAGCCAGAAGUAAAGGCUACCUGACCUCAGAUAGAAAGGUCUUCUCUGGUUCUGGAAAAGGCAAAGGCUUUGGAGCUCCUGGUUUCUGUAGGCCCAGGGAGUCUGGAAGGAGCUGGAGGUUUCCCGAAUGCUGUCUCUUCUCUAGCCCUUCAGAGCGGUGCUCCCCUGCAGUCGGGUCUUCCCAUGCAGUUCCACACCCCGUGCCUUCCCGGACGUGCUUCCCUCCGUCCUGUACGCCUCGCUCCAUCCGCUCUUCUCUGACUCAUCUGGCAAAAUUCAGCUCACGCCUCAGGAAGCUAAGGCCUCUGGGCAGCCUCGUCUGGAAGCCCAGGCAGGUUACUUGUGCCCAUAAGUCUGUACAAAUGUCAUUGCUUGACUCAUGCCCUGUGAUUCUCCGUUGACUUGUCCAUCUCCCCCACGCCGCUGUGAGCGCCUCGGGGGCAGGGACGAGGUCGCAGAGAUUCAUGAAUUCCCAGGGCCCAGCAGCAUGCUGGAUGCGAGGUGGACCCUCAGAACAUACGUGAAUGGGUAAAUAUGCAGUGGCCCUCGGCUUGGGACAGUAAAACUGCGUUAUUUUAGUAGGUUAUAUGUUUUUUUUUUUCUUUUGUAAUGGAGGAGAGGCAACCAGGUUCAUGAAUAAACAGAACCUUCAAGAAUUUGGUUCCAUUCCAAUAAUUGCUUUUUCUCCAAAA